CAGGACUAAGCAUGUAGAACUUUUGGCAGAGGACUCGCGGACGGCGGUUCGAAUCCGCCCGCCUCCACCA
rnacentral:tmRNA from 1 species